UACGUAGGGUGCGAGCGUUGUCCGGAAUUAUUGGGCGUAAAGAGCUUGUAGGCGGUUUGUCGCGUCUGCUGUGAAAUCUCAAGGCUCAACCUUGAGCUUGCAGUGGGUACGGGCAGACUAGAGUACGGAAGAGGCGAGUGGAAUUCCUGGUGUAGCGGUGGAAUGCGCAGAUAUCAGGAGGAACACCAAUAGCGAAGGCAGCUCGCUGGGACGUUACUGACACUGAGGCGCGAAAGCGUGGGGAGCGAACAGG
rnacentral:rRNA from 1 species